UACGAAGGGGGCUAGCGUUGCUCGGAAUUACUGGGCGUAAAGGGAGCGUAGGCGGACAUUUAAGUCAGGGGUGAAAUCCCGGGGCUCAACCUCGGAAUUGCCUCUGAUACUGGGUGUCUUGAGUAUGAGAGAGGUAUGUGGAACUCCGAGUGUAGAGGUGAAAUUCGUAGAUAUUCGGAAGAACACCAGUGGCGAAGGCGACAUACUGGCUCAUUACUGACGCUGAGGCUCGAAAGCGUGGGGAGCAAACAGG
rnacentral:rRNA from 1 species